CUGCCCGUAGCUCAAUUGGAUAGAGCACCGGCCUUCUAAGCCGGCGGUUGCAGGUUCGAUCCCUGCCGGGCAGGCCA
rnacentral:tRNA from 2 species